rnacentral:lncRNA from 1 species
AUGAAGAUGAAAAUUUUUCGUUGCUGCUAUAAUAGCUACAAAUACAUAUAUUUUAUUGGUAACUAAUUUCUAGUAGUAUAUUAUCUAACCAUCCAUUACAUAGUAAUUGGAGUUAUACCCUCUUAACAACAUUGAAUGCAUGCGCCUUUAUCGCAAAUGCAACAUUUGGUUUUACAUUGUGAUGCAAAAGCGCAACCUGAAAUUCACGAAACAAACAUAUUUCAUAUACAAUAGAUAAAAAAAAAAUAAAGACGGUAAACCUAACAAUAGAAAGCCGAAUCUACCAGUUUUGAAACCAAAAAUACGCUUUUGUAAUCGUGAUUAUAAAAAUAAUUAUGUACACAUAAGGAAAAUUUGAAUCUAUUAGUUCCAAAACCAUUACUUCAAAAAAAGUAAAAAAAAAAAAAACUUAUCUUGAAAUUUCAAUAUUAAACAUCAAUUUCAAACCUUCCAUACGUAUAUAUUUUUGAGUUAUUUAGUAUCUUUGAAGAUACAUUAAUUUUUAAGGUAUGAAAAUUAGUUGUCGACGCAAGAAUGAGAAAAUAAAAGGAAAAAGUAAAAAUAAAAAAAUUAAAAUUAGAUAUACCUGUAAUAGUUACACGAGUGCUACGACUUGCAACAGACAGUUUUAGUGAUGUUACUUCUGGUGCGUAUGAUAGCUCCGAUACAUAUGAUGGUUUUGGUGCAUCCGAAGACUCUGGCACCCCCUGAGUUAAUGAAAAAAGAACAAACAUGACAAAAAUCAUAUAAACCAAAACAUUGGUUGAUUUUGUCAUCGUAAAUAACUAUACUUGUUAUGCCUAUAGGUACUUUUAUUUUUUU